rnacentral:rRNA from 1 species
UACGUAGGGUGCAAGCGUUAAUCGGAAUUACUGGGCGUAAAGCGUGCGCAGGCGGUUUUGUAAGACUGACGUGAAAUCCCCGGGCUCAACCUGGGAAUUGCGAUGGAGACUGCAAGGCUUGAAUCUGGCAGAGGGGGGGUAGAAUUCCACGUGUAGCAGUGAAAUGCGUAGAGAUGUGGAGGAACACCGAUGGCGAAGGCAGCCCCCCUGGGUCAAGAUUGACGCUCAUGCACGAAAGCGUGGGGGAGCAAACAGG